rnacentral:rRNA from 1 species
GAUGAACGUUGGCGGUACGCCUAAUACAUGCAAGUCGAACGGAGAUUGUAGCAAUACGGUCUUAGUGGCGAACGGGUGAGUAACGCGUUGGUGAUCUGCCUUGAAGUGUGGAAUAACGGCUCGAAAGAACCGCUAAUACCGCAUAGUCUCUCUUUGUUUAGAAAUUAGAGAGUAAAGGAUUUAUCCGCUUCAAGAGGAGCCUGCGUCCCAUCGGCUAGUUGGUAGGGUAAAAGCCUACCAAGGCUAUGACGGGUAGGGGACCUGAGAGGGUGACCCCCCCACAAUGGAACUGAAACACGGUCCAUACACCUACGGGUGGCAGCAGUAGGGAAUAUUAGUAAUGGAGGAAACUCUGAACUAGCGAUACCGCGUGUGCGAAGAAGGCCUUCGGGUUGUAAAGCACUUUUGUAGAGGAAUGGAGGAAGGACGGUACGUCUCAGAAUAAAGUCUCGGCUAACUACGUGCCAGCAGCCGCGGUAAAUACGUAAGCGUG